GAACGCUGGCGGCAUGCCUAACACAUGCAAAUCGAACGGCAGCAUUAUCUAGGCUUGCUAGAUUAGAUUGGCGAGUGGCGAACGGGUGAGUAACGCGUAGGAAUAUGCCUUAAAGUGGGGGACAACUCGGGGAAACUCGAGCUAAUACCGCAUAAGCUCUAUGGAGUAAAGCUGGGGACCUUCGGGCCUGGCGCUUUAAGAUUAGCCUGCGUACGAUUAGCUAGUUGGUGGGGUAAAGGCCUACCAAGGCGACGAUCGUUAGCUGGUCUGAGAGGAUGAUCAGCCACACUGGGACUGAGACACGGCCCAGACUCCUACGGGAGGCAGCAGUGGGGAAUAUUGGACAAUGGGGGCAACCCUGAUCCAGCAAUGCCGCGUGUGUGAAGAAGGCCUAUGGGUUGUAAAGCACUUUCAGUGGGAGGAAAGGUAUUUGUUUAAGAGAUGAGUACUAUGACGUUACCCACAGAAGAAGCACCGGCUAACUCCGUG
rnacentral:rRNA from 1 species